rfam:Mus musculus chromosome 14, GRC primary reference assembly.
GCCCAGCUCACUCAGUCGGUAGAGCAUGAGACUCUUAAUCUCAGGGUCGUAGGUUCGAGCCCCAUGGUGGGCG